UUUGAUUCCAAAGUGUAAUAUCAAGAAGUGUAAUGCUGAUAAAGUUGAACUUUGAGUAACGUAAGUUCAUUUGUUCAGUGCAUUGUGCAUUUUCACUAAAAAAUUAAUAUAAUGAUAUCCUACUAAUGUCGCUUCACUAAAAGUUAAUUAGGAAUCAGAGUCUAAUGUUUGAAAUUAUGAGGUUAAAUUACAUGUCCAAAAGGAAAAAAUUGUUAUAGAUUCAUUUGCAAUGAAAGGAGAACAAAAUACAGGUGGAAAAAACAUCAUCACGCUUUUCAGUAGAAAAGAAUACCUUCCAUUAAACUUUAUUUUAAAAGUUGUCAUCUUAAAAUUGCUUAAGCAUUUGAAUAAUCUUACUAAAGUGCUGUACAUUAAAAUGAAAAACUUGGGAAUUAAGUAGAAAAUAACACCUUCCAUUAAACUUUAUUUUACAAUUAUCUUAAAA